rnacentral:rRNA from 1 species
CCUACGGGUGGCAGCAGUGAGGAAUAUUGGUCAAUGGGCGCGAGCCUGAACCAGCCAAGUAGCGUGAGGGAAGACGGUCCUAUGGGUUGUAAACCUCUUUUGUCGGGGAGCAAAAAGCGCCACGCGUGGCGUUCCGAGCGUACUCGCAGAAAAAGCAUCGGCUAACUCCGUGCCAGCAGCCGCGGUAAUCCGGAGGAUGCGAGCGUUAUCCGGAGUUAUUGGGUUUAAAGGGUGCGCAGGUGGAAGAUCAAGUCAGCGGUAAAAUUGAGGGGCUCAACCUCUUCGAGCCGUUGAAACUGGUUUUCUUGAGUGAGGGAGAAGUAUGCGGAAUGCGUGGUGUAGCGGUGAAAUGCAUAGAUAUCACGCAGAACUCCGAUUGCGAAGGCAGCAUACCGGCGCUCAACUGACGCUGAUGCACGAAAGUGUGGGUAUCGAACAGGAUUAGAUACCCUGGUAGUC